rnacentral:snRNA from 1 species
AGCUUUGUGCAGUGGCAGUAUCAUAGUCACUGAGGUUUAUCUGAGGCGCAGUUAUUGCUAAUUGAAAACUUUUCCCAAUACCCUGCCAUGAUGACUUGAAAUAUAUUUGGCAUUGACAAUUUUUGACAGUCUCUACAGAGA